UACCAGCACCCCGAGUGGUCGGGACGAUUAUUGGCCUAAAGCAUCCGUAGCCGGUUCUGCAAGUCCCCGUUAAAUCCACCUGCUUAACAGAUGGGCCGCGGAGGAUACUAUAAGACUAGGAGGCAGGAGAGGCAAGCGGUACUCAGUGGGUAGGGGUAAAAUCCGUUGAUCCAUUGAAGACCACCAGUGGCGAAGGCGGCUUGCCAGAAUGCGCUCGACGGUGAGGGAUGAAAGCUGGGGGAGCAACCGG
rnacentral:rRNA from 1 species